rnacentral:misc_RNA from 1 species
GAAAUGCGAUAAGUAGUGUGAAUUGCAGAACUCAGUGAAUCAUCGAAUCUUUGAACGCACAUUGCGCCCUUUGGUAUUCCUUAGGGCAUGCCUGUUCGAGCGUCAUCUAAACCUUCAAGCCCUGCUUGGUGUUGGGUGCCUGUCCCGCCUCCGCGCGCGGACUCACCUCAAAUCCAUUGGCGGCCCCCGCGUCGGCCACGAGCGCAGCAGAAACGCGAACUCGUGAGCCCGUCCGGGCGGCUCCCAGAAGCUACACCCACCCAGUUUGACCUCGGAUCAGGUAGGGAUACCCGCUGAACUUAAGC